AGCGAACGCCGGCAGCAGGCCUAACACAUGCAAAUCGAACGAAGUCUUCGGACUUAGUGGCGGACGGGUGAGUAACACGUGGGAACGUGCCUUUAGGUUCGGAAUAACUCAGGGAAACUUGUGCUAAUACCGAAUGUGCCCUUCGGGGGAAAGAUUUAUCGCCUUUAGAGCGGCCCGCGUCUGAUUAGCUAGUUGGUGAGGUAAAGGCGGACCAAGGCGACGAUCAGGAGCUGGUCUGAGAGGAUGAUCAGCCACAUUGGGACUGAGACACGGCCCAAACUCCUCCGGGAGGCAGCGGUGGGGAAUCUUGCGCAAUGGGCGAAAGCCUGACGCAGCCAUGCCGCGUGAAUGAUGAAGGUCUUAGGAUUGUAAAAUUCUUUCACCGGGGACGAUAAUGACGGUACCCGGAGAAGAAGCCCCGGCUAACUUCGUGCCAGCCGCCGCAGUAA
rnacentral:rRNA from 1 species